GGUUUGUUUAAUAAAAAAAGAAAAUAGUAUUAAAAGAGAAAAAUAUGAGAAAAAAUAUCAAAAAACAAAAGGGUUUGUUGCAUAUCUAAUAGGCAAACCCUUACGGAAAACCAAAAGAUGAACAGCAUAAGAUGGUGAGAACACUAUCCAUGCCAGUAAAUGGUAUUUUAUGAAAGCAAAAUAUUAAAAUGUUUUAAGUUAAUGAUUAAUCAUCUUAUAAAUAAAUUCGUCAGGAACAGAGACCCAAACCAAGAACCAGGAACCGGCACCAAGGAACCAAACUGAGAACCAAGGUUUGGUUCAGUUUGGUUCUGGGAUUUCCCAAACUCCAGCUGAACUGAACCAAGCCCACCCCUACUAGAAAUUGCUUUUAAUGCCAUUAUGUUGAUCCUAUGUUUUUUCACUUGAAAAGCAAAUCCAAAUACACCUCCAUUUCAAAUGCAUAUCUAUCCAAAUGGAACACAAGUGAAUUUGAUUUCUUCAAGCUCAAAUGUAUACACUUGUAAUCUUCCAUGUUAGACAAUCAAUUUAAGAAAACAAAUUUAAAAAAAAAUCAUGAAAAAGAGAAGUCUCAAAAAAUGCAACGACCUAAGCCUGAGCUGAA
rnacentral:misc_RNA from 1 species